UACGUAGGGCGCAAGCGUUAUCCGGAAUUAUUGGGCGUAAAGAGCUCGUAGGCGGUUUGUCGCGUCUGCCGUGAAAGUCCGGGGCUCAACUCCGGAUCUGCGGUGGGUACGGGCAGACUAGAGUGGAUGUAGGGGAGACUGGAAUUCCUGGUGUAGCGGUGAAAUGCGCAGAUAUCAGGAGGAACACCGAUGGCGAAGGCAGGUCUCUGGGCCACUACUGACGCUGAGAAGCGAAAGCAUGGGGAGCGAACAGG
rnacentral:rRNA from 1 species